CGGGCUGUAGCGCAGUGGCUAGCGCGCGUGGUUCGGGAUCACGAGAUCGGAGGUUCGAAUCCUCUCAGCCCGA
rnacentral:tRNA from 1 species